GACGAACGCUGGCGGCGUGCCUAAUACAUGCAAGUAGAACGCACAGUUUAUACCGUAGCUUGCUACACCAUAGACUGUGAGUUGCGAACGGGUGAGUAACGCGUAGGUAACCUGCCUGGUAGCGGGGGAUAACUAUUGGAAACGAUAGCUAAUACCGCAUAAUAUUGAUUAUUGCAUGAUAAUUGAUUGAAAGAUGCUAUUGCAUCACUACCAGAUGGACCUGCGUUGUAUUAGCUAGUAGGUGAGGUAACGGCUCACCUAGGCGACGAUACAUAGCCGACCUGAGAGGGUGAUCGGCCACACUGGGACUGAGACACGGCCCAGACUCCUACGGGAGGCAGCAGUAGGGAAUCUUCGGCAAUGGACGAAAGUCUGACCGAGCAACGCCGCGUGAGUGAAGAAGGGUUUCGGAUCGUAAAGCUCUGUUGUAAGAGAAGAACGGGUCUGAGAGUGGAAAGUUCACACUGUGACGGUAUCUUACCAGAAAGGGACGGCUAACUACGUG
rnacentral:rRNA from 1 species